UACGAAGGGUGCAAACGUUGCUCGGAAUCAUUGGGCGUAAAGCGCACGUAGGCGGCGCAGUAAGUCGGACGUGAAAUCCCUCGGCUCAACCGAAGACGUGCAUCCGAAACUACUGUGCUCGAGUAUGGAAGAGGGUCGCGGAAUUCUCGGUGUAGAGGUGAAAUUCGUAGAUAUCGGGAGGAACACCAGUGGCGAAGGCGGCGACCUGGGCCAAUACUGACGCUGAGGUGCGAAAGCGUGGGGAGCAAACAGG
rnacentral:rRNA from 1 species